rnacentral:misc_RNA from 1 species
GGAGGACAUCCCUCACGGGUGACCGUGGUCCUCC